rnacentral:siRNA from 1 species
CUUAUACGGUGUAUCUAUACUGUA